UAGGAAUCUAAUUUAAGUGCAUAAAACUAUAGAAAAAAGUUUAAAAACCUAUUCCGAGAGUAGAGAGUGCUUAAUCAGAUUACUUGGGUUCAACCCAACUAAAUUUCAUAUAUUAAAAAGAAAACCAGAGUUGCAUAUGUCAGACAUUCAAAGACAUCAUUCUGGAGGGGCAAAGAAAAUGUGAAGUUGAAUGCAACGGGUGGCGUUACGAUAAGAUGAUGAGUGUCCUCCAGCCAGGACCUUGGGUGAGACCCCUGUAUUUCAUUAAAUAGGUAACUUGUUUGGGAAGGUGCUGUGUCAGGAAGGAUAGGAGGCUUGAGAGUCUGGUUCCCAUCAGAUAUGAGUGAUGUGCUCUGGAAGCUUCCAUGGGUUAUGGAGGAUGGGCCAGGAAUCUUGGGUGGAGCCAGCCAUUCUUCUAGAAAGUUCCGAAUGUCCUGACUUCUGGGUCACCCUUUGCAGUUCUCUUCCUGAACAGAUUCAAUGCAUCCCUUUGGUGUUUGCAUUUUCCUUUCCUGGAGGCAUCCUCACUUCAAGAUGCAAACCCCCAAGAGGUGCAUUUAGUGGUUCUUUCAGGAGGAGACAAUCCUGUGAGGUCAGCCUCCCUCGUCAGGCUGGGAACGAUGGAGCAGUGAAAACGGCCGAGUCCCUGGUGUUGCAUACAGAUCGCUGUGUGUCGGUCGCUGAGGGCCCUGGUUCGAAAGGACGUAUAGGGAAUGUGUGCCUUAGGUUUUCAACAUUUCUUUCAAUGAGCUGUAUGCUUCCCAGUGCUGUCAACCAACAGUCCAAGUCCUUUUUUGAUACACCUGAAAUUGGCAAAUGCUGGCCUGUAAGUGACCUCCUGGAAAUCAGGAUUCAGGGGGCACAGGGAGCUGUGAUUUCUAGGAGCUUCGUGGAAUCUGUUAUCAUAGGAGUGAUCUGAAAAUCACCUUGAGGAACUGUCUGGGUGGAUGUGAGUGACUUCAUUUCCAAACAUGGAACUGUUUAGGGACCUCUUUGUUCAAGGUAGCCUGGGAAGGCCAUCUAAAGCUAGCCAGCAGAAGUGGGUAAGCUCCCACCAACCCACACAGAGUAAGUCCUGACCUCCUUCCUUGGUACCAAGUCUUCGUGGCUGGUGUGGCAAGAGGGCUGUACGUGGAGAUGAGUCAGCCAGUCAAUCACUCCUUGGGUCCUGCUUGUUCCAAAAAAGUCUGGGGUCAAGAAAAGCCAGAGAACGUGGGGUCCUGCUCAGCAGUGACCAUUCCAGUUAGCCUUCACCUUUUAGAAAAGAACGUAUCUGUCCUGAGACGAGCCCCUUGUGUCUCCAGCAGCGGGUGGGUCACAGUGCUGGGGGCAUGUCGCUCCCCUCACAGCCCUGCUCGGAGCGUGGGAUGAGCCGCUCCACCUCCUUGACGGACACCCUGUUGACUGUAAUAUACUUCUGUUGCCAAAUAAUGGUACUGUUUAAUUUCCCAUCAAAGGGAGACUAUAUUGUUUGGUGUGUAAUGUCAAUGGAGUUCCAAAAAUUACUAGACACUAUUAUAAAUUGUAGAAUUCUGUAUUUGUUUGAUGAAGCAGGGCCAAGACAUUAGGUUUCUUUUCUGUUUAAAAGAAGCUGAGGUUAGGUUUGCUCUCUGAGCAAUCCUUUGGCACCUUAUUAUGUAAGAAAUGUUAAAUUUGACUGAUCAAGAUUAUGGUAACUGAGUGUUGUUUUCUUUAAACCAGUAGCAACAUCAAUACAGAUGGAUAUUUCUGUGUAUCUGGAAUCUAAAAAGAACAAUCUCUUCCAAACAAUUCUUUGGUCAUUUUGACCUGUACGGUUUAAAUUCACAUAGUUCAUGAAUAAAAGGAGAAAAACCAACCUUGUUACAAUGGAUUGCUUUGGGUUCUUUCUGCCCCACUUCCUUUCUGAGCAGACUGUUUUUGUUGUUUAGUUAAGUCAUGUCCAACUCUUUGUGACCCCAUGGACUGUGGCCCGCCAGGCUCCUUUGUCCAUGGGAUUCUCCAGGCAAGAAUGGAGUGGGUUGCCAUUUCCUUCUCCACUAUACAGCUGUAUCUGUCAUCUAUCUGUUUUUGAACAUCUUGAUUUUUAAGGGCUGCAUUAAGUAUCCCAUUGCUUGAAUAUAUUCCAG
ensembl:lncRNA